UCCCGGGGCCCGGGGCCUCCGCGGUCGCUGCCCCCCCACCCCCCGCGGGUUGCGAGCGGCCUUGUCGCCGAGGCUGGGCUUGGGAGUGUAAGCACAGCUGUCACGCGCAGUGACUCUGGUCUCUCCCAGGCAGUGUGUGGAGCGCUCUGGACAGGAGACUCCAGGACCCGGGACCAGCUGCCUCAGUCCUCUCCUGCAGGAUUCCAUCACCUCUCCCAGCGCCGCCUCCAGAGUCCUCUGGCAUCUUUGAGAGCAGUGGACAAUGGAUAAAUCUCUGAUUAUUUAUUUAUAGAAGAACCGGGGUACAGGCCAGAUGCAUGGGAGGGUGAGAGGAUUCACCAGAGACAGAGCGGGAAACAGAACAGGCAGAGUGACGAAGUACACUGCUGAGGGGAGCAGUGGGCACGACAGGAGAGGUCUGCUGCGCCAUGUGGACCCUUGCCAGCUCGCCGGAAUCGAACCGGUGCUGCAAAGCCUGCGGACAGCCUCACAGCACAAUGCUCAACCACCUGCGCCACCAGGGGAGGCCCGCUUUGCCCAUUUUUAAUUGACUCAUUGGUUGGUAUCUUGGAUUGGGUGGGAACUUCUUAUAAAUUUUGGGUUUUUUUAAUUUAUUUUUAUUUUUUGUUGUUAUUUAAAGAUUUAUUUAUUGAUGCGUACAAGAGCUUGGGUGCAAGACAGAGAUGCAGGAGUGAGAGCAUUCACCAGAGACAGAGUAGGGAGCAGAACAGGCAUAUGUACUGAAAUACACUGCUGAGGGGAGCCGCGAGUGAGACAGGAGAGGUCUGCUGCACCAUGUGGGUCAGCUCCCUGGACGGGGCUCAAACUCAUGCUGCAGUGACUGGGAAUAGCCUCUUAGCAUUGUGUCUUAACCCCUUGCGCCACAAGGGAGGCCCGGAUACAUUAUAAAUUUUGGAAUGAACUUGUCAGAUGUGUGACAUGCAAAUAUUUUUUGUAUUCUAUAGGGUGCCUUUCUGUUUCUGUGCUGGUUUCUUUUGAGUUCCAAAAGCUUUUAGGUUUGGUGUUGUCCCACGUGUUGAAUUUUGCUUUUCUUUCCCUUGGUGUUGGGGUUGUGUUCCUUAAUACAUUUUGUAGCAGCUGUCCUAUAGUGUACCCCUUAUUUGCUUUCAGUACUUCACGCUUUGGGCUCUUAUGUCCAAACGUUUCAGCCAUUUGGAAUCAGUUUUCUGUAUGGAGUUUUGAAUGGAUCUUGCUUCUUAGUUUUGCAAGUCACUAUGCGUAUUUCCCGACACCAUUUUUUGGGAAGAUAUAUUUAUGCAUGGAAGAACUGGGGUGUAGACCAGAUGUUCCGGGGUUGAGAGGGUUCACCAGAAAGAAAGUAAGGAGCAGAACAGAUAGAUCCACUGCAAUGCACUGCUGAGGGAAGCGAUGUGGGAGACAGGUGAGGUCUGCUAUGCCACAUGUGGGUCAGCUCUCUGGCCUGGAAUGGCCAUGCUAUAUAGCACUGACUCUUAACCCCUAGGCCGCCAGGGGGCCCCAUCCCAGUAUUAUUUAUUAAAGAGGCUGUCUUGUCUGAAUUGUAUGAUUUUAGCUCCUUUGUCCAAGAGGAACUCUUCGUAUUAUUUGCUCUCUGGGUUUUUAAUUGCCUUCCAUUGCUCUGAGUUCUGGUUUUGUUUCAGUAAAAUAAUGUUUUCAUUACCAUUGGCAUUUAAUAUAUUUUGAAGUCAGGAAGUAUGAUAGUUACCUUUCACUUUUUCUCCCAAGUUUUUUUUUUUGCUCUUUGGGACCUUCUGUGGGUUCAUGUAAAUGCAGUGAUUGUUCUCUUUCCUUACAAAAAAACCUCCUUGGUGUGUGGAUAGGUAUUGCAUUAAAUUUGUAAAUUGCUCUGGACAAUAAAGCCAUUUAUGAUGUUAAUUCUUCCCACCUAGGAGCGCAGGACAUCUUUCUAUUUCUUUGUAUUUUUUAUUUCCUUUACUAGAGUUUUAUAAUUUUCAGUGUUCAGGUCCUUCACCUCCUUCUUUAACUUUUUUUUUAAGAUUUAUUUAUUUAUGUAUACAAGAGCUGGGCUGCAGGCCAGAGGUAUGGCAGAGGGGGUUGUGUGAGAGGAUUCUCCAGAGACAGAGUAGGGAGCGGAACAGGCAGACUGACUGAAAUAUACUGCUGAGGGGAGCAGCGGGCGAGACAGGAGAGGUCUGCUGCGCCAUGUGGGUCACCUCUCUGGCCGGGGAUCAAACUCAUGCUGCAGUGGCUGCAGAUAGCUUCAUAGUGCUGCCUCUUAACCCCUUGUGCCACUAGAGAGGCCCCUCCUUCUUCAACUUGAAUGAAAUAAUCACAGCUAUUUCAUUCUCUUUGGUGUGAAUGUCAAUGGAAAUGCCAGUCUUUUCAUACACAUUCUCUUCAUAACUUGUUUAUACUUCCAGAGAAAUAAACAAAAAAUUUUAUCGUGUAUUCAAUUGUAAAAAAUGAUAACAUAGUUCAACAUAUAUAAUGGACACCAAGGGUUCAAAUAUGAUUGUUUUCUUGUUGUUGUUGUUCUGCUUAGUAUUUGAUCAUUAUCUACAAUUUCCUUCCAGUCUUUCAGGUCAGUCUACUAUGAAUUUUACAAUUGUCCUGCCUCCUUGCUGUACAAAUAUGUGCCCUGGGGACGAUUGGACAUCACUGAAAUUAUGGCAUCCACGGUGGUUCCGUGGGCGUAUGUGAUCUUCUGGGCUCAGUGGGUGCAUUAGACUGUUAUUGUGUAAACAUGGGUCUCACUCAUAAGGGCAUUCUUCUCUCUUAGAACCAGGUCUCCCUUUUUUAAGAUUUAUUUUAUUUAUUUAUAUAUAAACCAGAGGUCAGGGCAUUGGGUGCGGGAUGAGAUGAUUCAUCAGAGAUAAGAGUGGGGAGCAGAACAGGCAGAUCUACUGAAGUACACUGCUGAGGGGAGCAGCGGGGAGACAGGAGAGGUCUGCUGCGCCAUGUGAGUCAGAUCCCUGGUCAGGGAUCCAACUCAUCCUUCAGUGGUUGUCAUAGCUUCAUAGUACUGAGACUGAACCCUUUGUGCCACCAUGAGGGGACCCUCAAAACUCUCUUUUCACCUCAUACCCUAUUCAGAGCUCCGCUGGUGGCCACAUGGUAACUGUAUAUUUUGA